rnacentral:sRNA from 12 species
GCUUUCAACAUCCCCGUCUCAGAGGCGCGAUCGGCGGUCUCGGCAUCGCCGACUCCAAACGACCUCAUGAGACUGAAGGC